AACAGGAGAGCUUGCUCUCGCUGACGACCGGCGCACGGGUGCGUAACGCGUAUGCAAUCUACCUUACACUGGAGGAUAGCCCAGAGAAAUUUGGAUUAACACUUCAUAGUAUGUUUACCUCGCAUGGGGAAAACAUUAAAGGUUACGGUGUAAGAUGAGCAUGCGUCCUAUUAGCUAGAUGGUGUGGUAACGGCACACCAUGGCAACGAUAGGUAGGGGCCCUGAGAGGGGGAUCCCCCACACUGGUACUGAGACACGGACCAGACUCCUACGGGAGGCAGCAGUGAGGAAUAUUGGACAAUGGAGGCAACUCUGAUCCAGCCAUGCCGCGUGCAGGAAGACUGCCCUAUGGGUUGUAAACUGCUUUUAUACGGGAAGAAACACCCCUUCGUGAAGGGGCUUGACGGUACCGUAAGAAUAAGGAUCGGCUAACUCCGUGCCAGCAGCCGCGGUAAUACGGAGGAUCCAAGCGUUAUCCGGAAUCAUUGGGUUUAAAGGGUCCGUAGGUGGAUAAUUAAGUCAGAGGUGAAAGUCUGCAGCUCAACUGUAGAAUUGCCUUUGAUACUGGUUAUCUUGAAUUAUUAUGAAGUAGUUAGAAUAUGUAGUGUAGCGGUGAAAUGCAUAGAUAUUACAUAGAAUACCAAUUGCGAAGGCAGAUUACUAAUAAUAUAUUGACACUGAUGGACGAAAGCGUGGGGAGCGAACGGGAUUAGAUACCCCGGUAGUCCACGCCGUAAACGAUGGAUACUAGCUGUUCGGCUUUCGGGCUGAGUGGCUAAGCGAAAGUGAUAAGUA
rnacentral:rRNA from 1 species